CCUACGGGUGGCAGCAGUGAGGAAUAUUGGUCAAUGGGCGAGAGCCUGAACCAGCCAAGUAGCGUGAAGGAUGACUGCCCUAUGUGUUGUAAACUUCUUUUGUAUGGGAAUAAAGUGUGACACGUGUGUCCUUUUGUGUGUACCCUAUGAAUAAGGAUCGGCUAACUCCGUGCCAGCAGCCGCGGUAAUACGGAGGAUCCGAGCGUUAUCCGGAUUUAUUGGGUUUAAAGGGAGCGUAGGUGGUUUGUUAAGUCAGUUGUUAAAGUUUGCGGCUCAACCGUAAAAUUGCAGUUGAAACUGGCAGUCUGGAGUACAGUAGAGGUGGGCGGAAUUCGUGGUGUAGCGGUGAAAUGCUUAGAUAUCACGAAGAACUCCGAUUGCGAAGGCAGCUCACUGGACUGCAACUGACACUGAGGCUCGAAAGUGUGGGUAUCAAACAGGAUUAGAUACCCGGGUAGUC
rnacentral:rRNA from 1 species